CUUCAACUGGAUGUAAAGUGCUUUUAUAGUUGAAACAUGUUACUCACAAACAUGUCAAACACAAAAUUGUAUAUUGAGAAUAAAGAUCAACAUAUACAAAACUAUCAGUGAUGUGUAGGUCAAUGUACACUGUAAAAAAUUGCUGUAAAAAAACGGGGAAUUUUGGACAGUAAUUUACCGUUUCUCAUAAAUACAGUUGAAUACUGUAAAUAAACAUUAAUAUGACAAACAAAAUAAUAACAGCAAGCUCCUGUUCAGUCUUACGGGAUAAUACAGUAUUUUUUGGUUUGGUCAGGCAUGUCAGACAUGUGACGAGCUCAUCUGCAACCAUGAGUAAAACUGAUUUAACUACACUGUUUUUCUGCAUUUUAUUAUACGAGAAGGAAGCAGAAUUAAAGACUGUCUAUCCAUUUUCACUCCGAUUGUGACCCUACCAGCACUGAGACGGACGACGAAUUCACUUGUUUUUUACUCCUCGCCUGUAUAUCAAGGUAAGCACAAACUGAACAGAGUCUGUGUUUCUAAGUGAAAUAAUUGACAAAAUGUUAUAUAUAUUUGCUUAUUUUUGAAAUAUUUCUAAAAACGAUUUAUUUGAUUUUGACAUAUUUAGGGCAGAUUGUUAAACGAAUUGGCAACUAGCUAUAUAGGUUAAAUACAAAUAAAGAUGCUAAUGUUAAUUUGCAAUCUAAUCAAAUGUCUGACUGAUGUGCGAUUAUCUAUUGAUAUUUUUUUUAAAUCUACAUGAGGGAUUGGGCUCUGUUUCACCAUUUGUUUGUAUCUUUUUUCAAUGUGUGCACUUUUAAUCUUUGUACAGCGCCUCGUGAAUGUGUUAACAUUUAGCCUAGUCCCAUUCAUUCCUAUGGCUCCAAACAGGGAUGAAUUUAGAAGCCACCAAACACUUGCAUGUUUUCCCUAUUUAAAGACUGUUACAUGAGUAGUUACACAAGUAAGUUUGGCACAAAAUAAAACUUUUGUUUGGAGCCAUUGGAAUGAUUGGGGCUAGGCUAAACGCUACAUUCACGAGGCACUGUAAAAGAUGAAGUGCACGCAUUGAAAAAAGAUAGGGCUGUAUUAAUUCGUCUAAGUUGAGGUAAGAACAUAGUAAAAUAUUGAAAACGGCUAGUCCAAGGCUGAUACUGCUGGUUGCUGGUGAUGAAGUAACAUUUGGAGGUUGGAUGAUCAGCAGUGAAAACAUCAUCAUCUGUGAAGGCAAGAUGAAGCUGCGAGGACACUGGAGUUUGUUCAAAGAUGCUUAAUUGGUGUGAACCCUAAGAGGUGAACAAAAGCCAGGCAGGUGAAGGUGUCCGAGAAGACAGGAAAGCUUGUCCAGAAAAACGCAGCAACUGUUAAUCCCCAUGUGACCACCCUCAUCAAAAACUUCAUGGACUUUGAGUGGCUUUCACAUUGUAUGCUGCAAUGUUGUGAUAUUUAUGUGACAUCACAGCAUUAUGUUUUAUUCAGCCCAGUCUCAUUAGUGAGGCAGAAACUGACAUUUAAGAAUGCACUGAAUUUUGUUAUAUUUAAUAAAAACAGUGUUUUAUCAUCAUCCUUUGUU